ACUAUAUUUCGCGUAUGUUUUAAAUGACAAUAAUAAAAGUUAUAUUUUAACAUUUCUGCCCAUUUACCUUAGGGUAUCUGACUAUAAGAGUAUAUAUUAGUCCGUGUGUGCCCGUAAUAGGGAAUAUCUUUUUUUCUUCUAGUUUUCUUCAUUCAUCUCUCGCCAGGCCGGCUGCCGCGAUCAGAGCUCAGCUCCAAUUGGGCAAUGUUAGUAGAAGCUCAUUGUAUCAGUGGCGGGCAACCACGGCAGCGAUAGUGUGGGAGAUAGUGGAGGCGGUGGACUCCUGCUGGACCAUAUCUCCUCCAUUGUCCAUGGAGUGGUUCACCAUCUGCGCCCCAGAGACACUGGAAUCUUCUGCAGUUGUCAUAACCUACAGACUGACAGUGGGUGACAGAUACAUGUAGGAGCCAGGAGCGACGAGGAGAAAAUGAAGACGCUGUUUGUGUUGGUGGGCGUAGUUCUGUGCUUGGCUUUGGUGGAAGGGAAAUCAGAGUCUUGUCCUGGAAACGAGGAGUACACGACAUGUCCAGGCUGUGAACCUACCUGUGAGAUCAAAAACCCCAUGUGUGUUCAAGCUUGCAUCGGACCCGGACAAUGUCAAUGCAAGAAGGAUUUUGUUCGUGACAGUAAAACUAAACUCUGCAUACGUGUGGGAGAAUGUCCCUGAGCGUGCCCAGCACAGGACACACACGCCAUGACACAGAUAUACAUGCAUGCUGCCAUAUCAUGUAUGCUCUCUCCAUAUUCUAAUAAAGGUGGGAUCAUUGCUG